CCGUGCGAAGGUAGCGCAAUCACUUGUCUUUUAAAUGGGGACCUGUAUGAAUGGCAUAACGAGGGCUUAACUGUCUCCUCUUUCAAGUCAGUGAAAUUGAUCUCCCCGUGCAGAAGCGGGGAUAAGCACAUAAGACGAGAAGACCCUAUGGAGCUUUAUACACUAAAGCAGCUUCAACAUUCAUAUCCUGAACAUAGGACACGAAUAGCUUCAUCCCUGCCCUAUUGUCUUAGGUUGGGGCGACCGCGGAGAAAUACAAAACCCCCGCAAGGGACCGAAAUGUACCUACAUUUAUUACCAAGAGUGACAACUCUAUUUAACAGAAUUUCUGACCAAGUAAAGAUCCGGCAAUUGCCGAUUUAUAUGAAACCCAAGGUUUACCCCUACGGGAUAACCAAGCGCAAUUCUCCUCUUAGAAGCCCAUAUCGACGAGGGGGUUUUACACGAACCUCAAAAUAUUGGAUCAAGACACAUCCCUAUUGGCCGCACCCGCCUAUU
rnacentral:rRNA from 1 species